UGGAAGAUUCAAGUAUUGAACAAUCGGAUCAAGCAAUUGACUAUAAACAUAGCAAAUGUUAGUGUUAUUAAGUUAAGGAGUGGAAAACAGCUAAAUCCGGUUCUUCAAAGGAAGCUUCCUGCUGUCAAACUCGUCAAUUUGGAAGAGAAUGAUGUUGCAGUUUUUGCAGACAAGACACCAGUGUCGACCGACACUACUGGGUGUCGAUCGACACCAGGCUACGCAGACACUACAGAACUCGACAGUGUUGACAAACACCAACAGGGUGUCGAUCGACACCAACCUAGUCUAGACCUGCGAAUCCUCCAAAACCCGAUUUCAGCUGCAAAAAAGGCAACCAAACCCAAGAUUCCUUUCCCCAUGAGUCCUAGGAAGUCCAAACAAGAGCUAGAUGAUGCUAGAUGCAAAGCUAUGAUGGAUAAGCUGAUUGUUGAGAUGCCACUUAUAGAUGUUGUGAAGUCUUUCCCUAUGAUCAAGCAUUAUGUUAAGAGAAUGGUUACUAAGGAUUUGAAUAGUGAGCAUGGUGUGAUGAUGAUCUCUGCACAUGUAACCGACUUUAUUCAGAACAAGACUCCAUAGAAACAAGAGGAUAAAACGAAGACAAUGGUUAUCUCGGAACAGAUUGUAGAUCUGAAUUGUAGACAGACUAUAGAUGGUCGAGUUGGAAAACGAGUGUCGAUCGACACCCCUUCUAGUAUCGAUCGACACCCACAACAUACUGCUCCAGAAUUGUUUCUCAAGACUGAAAUCGAUGUUGUAAGUCCAGGACGAAUUGUCAAGUCAAGCACUACACCUUUACUACUCAUUCAACCUCCUAAACGGCUAAGGUACUUAUCACCUCUAUCUAAACUUCCAGAUUUCAUCAAUACGACUUUGAAAUUUUCCAAGACUGUUUCACAGUUAGUUUCUCGUUGACUGCUUGUUUCUUCUUUUGAUGAUUUUGCAGGAAAGAGGAGUAUACCACCCAUACUUGAGUCCCACCCUGCAGAUCUUCCUCACUUCAAUGGUCGAUCUCACGCGCUAACUGCUCAUACACCACCAUGGAUGAUGCGAUAUUCUUCUAAGAAGCAUUUACUGCCACCUUCUGAUCCACCUGAUUCCUGAACUCCAGCAAAGUCAAGCUAUUGACUAUAAACAAGCGCUUCGUGGAAGGCAACCCACUGGUAUGAUUUUCUUUUUCCUUUAUAUAUAUUUUUCUUUUAUUUAUUUUUUCGCUAACUUCGGAUUUGAAUGCCACUGGGGACAGUAACGUUUAAGUAUAGGGGAAGUAGUUACUAAUUCAUGUAAUGGUAAAUGUCUGAGUUAUAAACUAGUCACAUUUAAAUACUUGAAAGAUGAUAAAGUAGAAUAUUAAAACUCUAUUACUUCAACAAACGAAGCUAAGAAAAAAGUGCAAUCCUUAUAGAAAUAAGAAAAAAUUAGCAUGGUUUAAAACCUAUCUUUUAGAUAAUAAUAAAUUAUCAAUAUAUAGAUGCAUACAUAACAUUAUUAUGCAAAACAUAAGCAAAACAUAAGCAUAUUUUGUUUAUAUGCACAUCACAUCACCUAGAACUUGUUUAGCGAUGUAAACACUGUAAAAUUUAUUCAUUAUGUUAGAGUAAAUAAGAAGAAGAUGGAGAAGGUGGUAAUAUAGAUAGAUAAAAAGCAGAAAUAUGCCUUAAUUAUGGGUUAUGGCUAUAUAAGUGAAUUUUAUUGUACAUAAAACGUUAAUCCGUCCAAACAAGAAUUCGGAGAACAUGCAUAUCUAUGUUACCAGAGUUCUACUACAAGGCCGGUCCAAGGUAAAAUGCUGCUUAAAGCAAAAAAAAUAUCAGUCCAUUAUUAAAGUUCAAAAAAAGCAUAAACUUGCAAAUUUGCGAUGAAAAAAGCAUGAACUUUCAAAUGCAAUAAAAAUCCUAAACUUUGCUUUGACUUUUUGAAAAAUGACCAACUUUCGUUGACCAGACUGUUUCGGGCAUGACGUUAAUUUUCCGUUAACGGAACGAUAACAGAGUUGACUUUUCGUUAACAGUCUCCGAUAAACCAAACGACUUCAUUUUGAAUUCACUAAGAAAAAAAGAAAACUCAGCACUUUAGGGAUCACCCCAUGACCAAUUGAUGGAUAUAACAGACUUGCAACCAUUGAGACACGACAUGACUAUGAUGUUAUAGCAAACACUGAUUUAUAUAUACAAGUUACCUAAAAAUAACAAAAGUUAAAAAUCUUUUUAUGUGUAUAUACAAUGUAUUCAUAAAAAAUCUUUGUUACGUACAAAUAUACACAAAAAAAUCUUCAUUAAAGAUAUAUACAAAAAUAUUUAUUGUGUAUAUAUUAAUAUAUAUAUAUAUAAAUGUUAAAUUAUUAUUUUUAAAAGUUAAUUACAUAUACAUAAAACAAUAUAUAAGCCAUAAAUAUUUUUGUGCGUAUAUUUGUAAUGAAGAUUUUUUAUGUAUAUUUAUACGUAAUAAAUGUUUUUAUGUAUU
rnacentral:sRNA from 1 species